rnacentral:rRNA from 1 species
UGGGCAACCUGCCCCUCUCUCUGGGAUAACCCCGGGGAAACCGGAGCUAAUACCGGAUACUCCGGCUGGAUCGCAUGGUCCGGCCGGGAAAGGUCCGCCGGAGAGGGAUGGGCCCGCGGCCUAUCAGCUUGUUGGUGGGGUCAUGGCUCACCAAGGCGACGACGGGUAGCUGGUCUGAGAGGACGACCAGCCACACUGGAACUGAGAUACGGUCCAGACUCCGUACGGGAGCA